rnacentral:rRNA from 1 species
CAUGCAAGUCGGGCGGUAACAGGAAAGCGCUUGCGCUUUUGCUGACGAGCGGCGGACGGGUGAGUAAUGUCUGGGGAUCUGCCCGAGGGCGGGGGAUAACCACUGGAAACGGUGGCUAAUACCGCAUAAUGUCGCGAGACCAAAGUGGGGGACCUGAAAGGGCCUCACGCCGUCGGAUGAACCCAGAUGGGAUUAGCUGGUAGGUAGGGUAAUGGCCUACCUAGGCGACGAUCCCUAGCUGGUCUGAGAGGAUGACCAGCCACACUGGGACUGAGACACGGCCCAGACUCCUACGGGAGGCAGCAGUGGGGAAUAUUGCACAAUGGGCGCAAGCCUGAUGCAGCCAUGCCGCGUGUAUGAAAAAGGCCUUCGGGUUGUAAAGUACUUUCAGCGGGGAGGAAGGAUUUAACUUGAACAGAGUUGGAUUUUGACGUUACCCGCAGAAAAAGCACCGGCUAACUCCGUGCCAGCAGCCGCGGUAAUACGGAGGGUGCGAGCGUUAAUCGGAAUGACUGGGCGUAAAGCGCACGCAGGCGGUCAAUUAAGUUAGAUGUGAAAUCCCCGGGCUCAACCUGGGAACGGCAUCUAAGACUGGUUGACUGGAGUCUCGUAGAGGGGGGUAGAAUUCCAUGUGUAGCGGUGAAAUGCGUAGAGAUGUGGAGGAAUACCGGUGGCGAAGGCGGCCCCCUGGACGAAGACUGACGCUCAGGUGCGAAAGCGUGGGGAGCAAACAGGAUUAGAUACCCUGGUAGUCCACGCUGUAAACGAUGUCGAUUUGGAGGUUGCGGCCCUGAGCUGUGGCUUCCGAAGCUAACGCGUUAAAUCGACCGCCUGGGGGAGUACGGCCGCAAGGUUAAAACUCAAAUGAAUUGACGGGGGGCCCGCACAAGCGGUGGGAGCAUGUGGGUUUAUUUCGAUGCAACGCGAGAAGACCUUACCUACUUCUUGACAUCCUCCGAAUUUUGCUGGAAAACAGCGAAAAUGCCUUUUGGGAACUGAGAGACAGGUGCUGCAUGGGCUGUCCUCCACCUCCUGGUUGUGAAAAUGUUGGGGUUAAAUUCCCGCCAACGAACCGCAACCCCUUUAUCCUUUGUUGCCAGCACGUCGAGGUGGGAACUCAAAGGAGACUGCCGGUGAUAAACCGGAGGAAGGUGGGGAUGACGUCAAGUCAUCAUGGCCCUUU